ensembl:lncRNA
ACCCAACCCGCGCUCGGCGCUUAGCCGGGGCGCGGCCGCCUGGCUCGGUCCUCGGACGCAGGCGCGCCAGCAGCCCCGGGCGCCGCGAGACUGCGAGGCACCGCCUCCUACGUGCGCGCGCGCGCAUCCGCUCCGAUCUUCCAGGUCCUCUCUGGUCAGUUGCUGGUGGCCUCGGGAUCUUGGAGGGCUGUUACCGCUCAGCUUCCGGCGCCCCGGACUUCGGCCAGCGGUUCGCUAGCCUCUGCCGUGAACCUUCCGUGGGGCGGCUCCGUCCAGCGACUCCCGCGCUGUGGCUGCAGGGCAGCAGGCAGGGCCACAGGGUCAGCUGCGCCUGGAGGAGGCAGAGCUCCGCCGGAGCCAGUGCCCUGCCAAUCUUCAGGGCCAGCGUUCGACCUCGCAGCGAGUGCGCGCCGAGCGCUGAUCCUCUGCGUCCUGAGGCGGCUCACGGGAGGUCGUGUGUCCUCCAGUGACUGAGGAGAAGAGAGCCAGGGGGCGGGGAUCCCAGAAGUUAGGCCUGAGGGCCCUAGGGAGGGUCCAUCCCUUAGACUGGAAAGGAAUUUUGUUUACAUUCCCCACUGUUGGGAGGUUUAUUUUUUACUAAAACAUACUUACAGGAAGUUCCACACAGCGUAAGUGUAUGAAUAAAUUCAC